GGCAUAUGUGUGACGGAAAGA
rnacentral:miRNA from 1 species